rnacentral:rRNA from 1 species
GAUGAACGCUGGCGGCGUGCUUAACACAUGCAAGUCGAACGGAAAGGCUCCUGCUUGCAGGGGUACUCGAGUGGCGAACGGGUGAGUAACACGUGGGUGAUCUGCCCUGCACUUCGGGAUAAGCCUGGGAAACUGGGUCUAAUACCGGAUAGGACGAUGGUUUGGAUGCCAUUGUGGAAAGUUUCUUCGGUGUGGGAUGAGCUCGCGGCCUAUCAGCUUGUUGGUGGGGUAAUGGCCUACCAAGGCGUCGACGGGUAGCCGGCCUGAGAGGGUGUACGGCCACAUUGGGACUGAGAUACGGCCCAGACUCCUACGGGAGGCAGCAGUGGGGAAUAUUGCACAAUGGGCGCAAGCCUGAUGCAGCGACGCCGCGUGGGGGAUGACGGCCUUCGGGUUGUAAACUCCUUUCGCUAGGGACGAAGCGCAAGUGACGGUACCUGGAGAAGAAGCACCGGCUAACUACGUG